AAGGUGAAAAUGGAGGAAAGCUUAUUGGUUUGCAUGGACGUGGUGGUAAUGCUAUUGAUGCCAUUGGAGCUUACUUCGACACCGGUUCACAAGGAGGUAAGGGCGGCGGCGGCGGUUCACAAACUGAUGUCCCCGGGAAGAAGGGACCUCUUGGUGGUGAAAAAGGAGAAGAGUUCAACGAUGUUGGUUUCGAAGGUGUGAAGAAAAUUACCGUUGGAGCCGAUCAAUACAGUGUAACUUACAUCAAGAUCGAAUACGUGAAAGAUGGAAAAGUCGAAAUCCGUGAGCACGGGACAAGUCGUGGGGAACUACAAGAGGUAAUAAAUGCGAUUUUCUGUCACACUAUUCAACUGGUUCGUUACUAAUAUAGAUUUGUUUCUAAUAAACAGUUUUCAGUGGACUAUCCUAACGAUAGUAUUACGGCCGUUAGUGGAACCUACAAACAUAUUUUCACCUAUGAUACGACUCUCAUCACAUCGCUUUACUUCACAACCUCCAAAGGUUUCACCUCUCCAUUAUUCGGUAUCAACAGUGAGAAGAAGGGAACAGAAUUCGAGUUCAAAGGUGAAAAUGGAGGAAAGCUUAUUGGUUUGCAUGGACGUGGUGGUAAUGCUAUUGAUGCAAUUGGAGCUUACUUUGACACCGGUUCACAAGGUGGUGACGGAGGCGACGUCCCUAGUAAAGACGGUCCUAACACUGAUGUCCCCGGGAAGAAGGGACCGCUUGGUGGUGACAAGGGAGAACCAUUCGACGAUGUUGGUUUUGAAGGUGUGAAGAAAAUAACCGUCGGAGUAGACAACUUAAGCAUAACUUAUAUCAAGAUCGAAUACGUAAAAGAUGGAAAAGUUGAAGUCCGUGAGCACGGAACGGCUCGUGGGAAACUACAAGAGGUAUAAAAUAAAUUUAGUGGUGACUCAUGUUUAAAAUAU
rnacentral:lncRNA from 1 species